rnacentral:rRNA from 1 species
GCGUGAGUGACGAAGGCCUUAGGGUCGUAAAGCUCUUUCGCCUGGGAAGAUAAUGACGGUACCAGGUAAAGAAACCCCGGCUAACUCCGUGCCAGCAGCCGCGGUAAUACGGAGGGGGUUAGCGUUGUUCGGAAUUACUGGGCGUAAAGCGCACGUAGGCGGAUCUUUAAGUCGGGGGUGAAAUCCCGGGGCUCAACCCCGGAACUGCCUUCGAUACUGGGGGUCUUGAGGUCGAGAGAGGUGAGUGGAAUUCCGAGUGUAGAGGUGAAAUUCGU